GUUUGCUGUCAAGUUUACGCACAACCCCCUCCCUCCCUGCUCGGCGCGUGAGCCGUGCUUGCCCACGCGCACGCAGACGUGAAUACGCUCCUGGCACCGUUCUGCUGUUUGCAGCCGAAGAGGGGCGGCAGCGGUGGAGGUGGAGGAGGAGGAGAACGCUUUCCAAUAACGAAAAAAUUUUGGUGUGCCUUUGAGAGAGAACCGUCGCAGACGCACAUCGUCCUGCUCAACUCUACACAGACAGUCAGGCCUGUGGUGCCCCCAUUAUCGGCCAUCUAGCUCUUUCACCAGCGCUUCCUAUUGGGCUCAGAGGGUGCUCUACUUCUCUCCCACGCACCCCUCCCUCUCGCCUGUGCUCGGACUGCACCUCACACCCUCACAAAGACCCACGGAGACGGAGCGAGCGAGAGGCCUCUUACUCACACGCGCGUGUGCGUGAUGCACAGGCACAGGCGUUCGGCGGCUUCGAUACUCAGAUACACGUACUUACUUUACUCUGUUCCUCUCUCACGCACACACGCACGCGCACCGUAUGCGGCCAGCCGCAUCCUCGUCGACCAUAGCACAUCCUUCCAUUCCCCAUUGAUCGGUGUCUCCCACUGCUACGCCUAAAAGCACCUGGAAUCACAGUCGACAGGCACGGCGCGACGCCCUCGCUUUUCUCCUCUCUCCCCUCUUCCUCCCUCGUCUUCAUGAGCACGCGGCUCUGAUCCGCGCAGACACACGUAUACGCGAUACGCGUUCUCUCAUUUUCGUCUGCGUGCGUGUGUACGUGUGUACGUGUGUGUGUGUGUGUGUGUGUGUGUGUGUGUGUGUGCACGGAAUAGCCAGCAAGGUUGCGUGUGCCAGCUGCCUCCAUCUCACGCACGCUUACCUCGCUUUCGGUCGGCUGGAGGAGGAACACCCCCUCCCCACACACCCGCAUCUCUUUGCGUUGUUGAUCGUCUUCCUUUGCUUCACCACACCCCAUCCGAUGCGCGACGCCGCGGAGCGAAGGCACUCUUCUGUCGAGCCGCAGCGGCAGCCAGAGGAGGACCACCACCAGCAGCACGAGGAUGCUGCGCACAAUCAACGGCAUGGAAGCUGCACGACCUCCGGCGGCGGCGCCGCCCUCGAAGAGGCAGCGUCGCUUCCGGCGCGUCCGUUGGCUAGGACGCCCCCACAGCAUCCCGGGUUUGCGGAAAACUUUGGCGGCAUGCCUGCCGCGCUGCUGCUGUCGCGGAGCAUACGCAACCAGACGCACGCCCGUGCUAUGGGUGGCCUUUCCUGUGUGGCCAGCGCACGCAGCGCCGCCGACAAGGACGAGUCCGUCACGCCGGAGGUACGGCGAAGCCUCUGUCGACACGCCGCCGCCUCCCCGUCCCAUCAUCUCUCAGACGGCACUCUGUCUUCCUCGCCCGCCACCGCGUCCACCGCCGAACUGGAGAUGCCGAUGCAAUUCGAGUCGCUGUGGGGCGACAUUGAGCGCUAUCUCUUCGCGGUUUACACCACCCUGCAGACGGACGACGAGAUGUCGCUGCGUCCUUUGCGGACGCCGAAACACCGGAUGGGCUGGUACACAGUCAUCUACAACGCUUGUAGCGGCGACCCUACCAAGUCGCGUGAGCUUUACGCACGCCUCGCGCUCCUUCUGCUGCACAUCCUCGAGUCUCACGUCCUCUUCCCCGUUCUGCAGAAUGUGGACCACAGCCGAGUGCACUUUCUUACAGGCGCGGAGGACAGCCGAGGCGCGCGCGACAGCGGAAGCGGUCAGCGGGGGGGUCAAAGCAGCCGCAGUGUCCCAACUGGAAGCGGUAUCGUUGGCUGCAGCAGCAGCGGCUGGAGUCGUUUCAAGAGCAUCGCGACGGCCGCCACCGGCGGGUCCGCGCACAGGUCACCUUCGAAGGAAACAAGCCGCAACUCAUCCUUUACGUGGUCUUCCCGCGGCCACCGCAACAGCGACGGCUCACUUGCCUUUAUGAAGCGUCUGUUCCACCCCUCGCCGCACCCAACCGCGACAACCACAGCGGCAAGAGCGUCCCCGGUCGGCGGGGGCGGUGUCAAAGCCGACGAGGAGGAAGGCGGUGCAGGGCGGUCUCCGCAGUCGCCAAAGGCGCCAGCCCCGGUGAACGGCGACUUCAUGGCGAGCAGCGGCGUUGGCGGCCGCGGCACGAGCUGGUUUGCGCAGCAGGGCAGCAGCGGCUCCGUCGCAGUGCCGAAAUCACCCGCAGCGGCCAACGAGUUUCAGACUGCAUUUGCCGGCUUCGACAGCACUGUGCAUCGCUCGCCGGAGAACCGUGUUUCCUUGGAACUUCCGAGUCAGCAGCAGCGGACCGCCGGUUUUCCGAUCGUUGCCAGCACGCAGUCUAGAGCCACCACGAGCCCCCCGCGGUCCCCAGCGAUACCGAUGCACAAGCCGCGCACCCCGUCGUCCGUGACGAGUCUCCACAUCGCCCAGCACACAGUCAAUGCCCCGACCGAGUCUGGCCGCUCAACGCUCACGGCACGCUCACCCACCUCCAUCGGCGGAAGAGCGCUGCCGACGGCGACGCACAGCGCUGUCUCCCCUCACCACGCCCGCGUCGCGUCAAAGACGGGGCGAGUGAUGGUUGACGACGAAGAGGAGGUUCUGUGCGCAGUCAACGCCGUCCCCGUCGCGGCGCGUCACCCACUGCAGCGACUUCCACGUCAGGGCAGCAGCAGCGACAGCAACUCUGUAGCUGCGCUUGUGUCCUUCAACGACACGGAAGAGGGCAGCGCCGGAUUGCGCGCGGGCGCUGACGACGACGACGACGACUCGCUGCACACCAUGAACUCCUUCUCUUCCGAGAGCGUCGGUCGUGAAAGUCGAGCCCGCCUUGGCAAAUACGCUGGCGAAGGCGGUACCGCCGCCGCCGCGCGCGAGGAUGCCCGUGGCCGCAAUGCAGCUCGCGCUGGAGAAGCUCCUGGCACCGAUCACUCCGAUGAGGACCGCACGGCGGAGCCGCCGGCGAGCAUGUCAUCGCCUUUCACAGCAACUCUGUCGUCAGGCGACGACAUGCUUUCCUCGCUCCUCGUUCCAGAGGCGCCUGCGACGAUGCGCAGCACAGGCACCAACGUCCCUCCCUCCCUGUUGCGGGCCACUGCAGCCGCCGACGCCUCUAUACGCUGCGCAUCGUCCCCGGACGCGAAAACGGUGAGUGGCUCCUCGGUGACCGCCACCGGCCACAGCGCUCGUGAGGCCUCUCCAUCGUCGCCAAGCGCUACGGUGACCCUUGCCCCACCUGCGGCCAGCGUGACCACGAACACCGGGACCACCUCGCCCACCACUCCAGCUUACUCCGCCGCGGAAACGACGUCAUCUGCUACGCGCGCCACCAGCACCGCCCGCCCAGAUGAGCGCCGCUUCAGUCUCUGCUACACGUUCCUGCAGGAAUGGCACACGUUCGUGGUCUUCCGCAGCGUCGUGCUCUCGUGCUUCCGCUAUCUCGACCAGUACUACACCCGCCGCUUCGGCAUGGACACGAUCACGCUCAUGUGCUUUAAAGUGUUCUACGUUGUCGUCUACGAGCCCCUUCGGCCACUGCUGGUGAUCGAGCUGUGCUACCUGAUGCAGUACGUACGCGAGGUAUUCGAGACGACGGGCCAGGUUGCACGGGAGCAGCUGAGGCUUGUCCAAGAGACGUACAGCGUCGUCACGGAGUUGCUCCUUAUCGUGCAGUCCACCUCGUCCUCCAUGGUUGCCCAACAGCAACAGCAGCCGCAGGCGGGGUCGGGUGUCAGCGGCGGUGGCGGUGCUACAGCAGCGGCGGCCGGCGCAGGAACAGCGUCCACAGCGGGCAGCACUAAUACCACGAACGGUCCACCAAGUGUCGUGGCCCCUUCUGCUGCAAGCCUGUCAUCGAUGGUGGGCCCGUUCAGCACCGUCGAAGCGGCGGUGGCGGAGACACCCGUGAGGAGUCACGCCAGCAGUCGCGCUCGCAGCACCAGCGGCCACAACCUGAGCACAGCGAGCAGUUCGGUUAGCACACCGCAUGUGGGUGCGCUCGACGGGCACAACAGCAGCAGCACCGUCACGGCGCGCUCACCGGCCGCCGCUGACGGGGAGCGGUCUGGCGCGCAUCCGCACGUCAGCCGACGACGUCGUUUGAUCUCUCUCUUCACCAAUGGGCGCCUCGGUGAUGGCGCCAAAGGCGGCGGCGGCAGCAGCGGCCGCGACCAGCGUGCCACCUCGCGGACAAGCUCCACUCCGGCAAGUCCGUGGGUGGGUCUGGCGUCGUCGACCUCGUCCGCGGCACGACUCGCCUCCACCAUUGAAAGCACGCUGCGGCCGCCAGCCGGUCGCGACGGCGACAGUGGCAGGCUGUCGGCUAGAGGUGAAGCGGAGGGCCGCAGCGACAGGCAGCAGAGGGGUGCGGCGAAGGCUGACUACAUCUCAGCGCCUACAGUGGUGGUGGACCUCCGCGGCACGGUGGAACUGCGCGAUCGCCUCGAAGGGCAUACGACUGCCCAUCACCUGACCACGCAGGCGCUGAAGCAAUGGGAAGGCAUGUCCGCUGACCGUCGGCUGCGCCUCGGCACCAUCAUCAAGGAGAUCGCGAAGCCGCUGUCAACGAUUGUAAUGGAGGACGUGGGCAACGAAUACGUCGCCGGCAUCUAUGCCUUCUACCGGUACACGCGCGACGCGCGCCGCAGCACCGAAGAAGGCCGGCGCGGCUACGUGAGUUGGGCAAGUGACGUGAAGGAACUGGAGAAGCUUGUGUGGCGGCGGGUGCAACUGCCUUUCCUGCACGCCUCGCUGCGAUCUGCACUGAAUGAGGUGCUGGUUGUGGAGCCGCACCGAAGCAUUCUGCUGGAUACCCGCUUCGGCUUGCGUGCGCUGCUAGACACGUGGAGCGCGAGCGUGGAGUCAGCAGACCUUAGCUUGGCCCCGCAGAUGGCGGCUGCCGCGGCGAGGCCUGUUGGUGCAGCGACGCAAGCGGACGGCAGCAGUACUACCGCAGCCGCUGCCUUCCGCCGGCGGACCGGCAGCACGAUGACGUCGACGUCGCGCAGAGGCAGCUUGGGCGAGGCCGACCCGCUGGCGAGCAUCGUCGUGCAGCGUGGCGGCGGCAAGUAUCCAGAGUCGCUGAUAUUGUUUGGAGUGCACGGCAGCCAUCCGACCCACUCCUUAUCCUUCCAGCAUCAGCGCACCCCCCCCUCCUUUCUCUUCGAUGGUGGCGAGAGGGACGAGGCGGUGUCGCAGAUAUCAUGCUCAGCUUUCUCCGAAGAGGAGAGGGAGAAGGACGACGGGCGACACGGCGGCAGUGGUGGUAGCGUUUUGAGCGGGGUGCGGUGGCCCACAGCGGGGAGCAGCGACAGCCACAGCACAGCCAUCACGGUCGCCUCCGCCAUCGACCCCAGUAGCAACGAACGCUUCAUGGAGCAUGCGGGGGCGUGGGCAGGGAGGAGGCGUGGAGAAGGAAAACCGCCGACGGUGGCUACGGCGCCCACGCCACGUUUCAUGAGGAGGGAGGAUAGCAGCAUCUGUGCCCCAUCAAUGGAACCCGCGACGCACGCUGUCCUUGCGCUUCACUCUAGACUUGGCGAGCAGGUAUCCCCGUCCUCGGGAACCGCCGCCGCUGCCGAGCCCGGCAGGGCCGUCUCCGGCGAGGCCGAGGGCGCUUCGGCGUCUGCCCGGGCCGCACUCGAGUCGCUCUGUGGUCUUUUCAGCGACGUUACCGAAGACGAGUGCUGUGUGCUGAUGGCCGCCAUCCUCAUCACAAAGCUGAUCCGCGACGCGGCGGACAUCGUUGAGCGAUAUCUGCGCGCCGUGAGCAGCCCGACCUCAGCAGCGCCGUCGCAGCCGCACCCGCAAGCGCGCGGGAUCGACUUGAUGGCAAGCCUGGUCGGACUUGUGGAGCGCUACACGGACCUUGUCGAGGGCGUCUUCCACAACCACGCGACUGUGCUCCGUGCGUUGUUAAACGCGAUAGAGGAGCUGAUGUGUCCCUUUCGCUGGACUCGGAAAGGCGCGCUGCAGGCGUCUCAGCAGCGCGCCCAGGAAGCGCUCAUGGCGGCGGCAUCAGCAACACCCGGGGCCUUUGGCGGUUCGUGGAGCGAGGUAGCAUCGAGCACCGGCGCGGGUCUGCCGAGUGUGCUGCUCAGUCGAGACGCACGGCAGGCCACCCUGCCGCUCAUCUCGCUUGCGGCGAACUACCCACAAGCGGUACAGCAGUUGAAGUUAUCGGUGCUGAUUGCUCGAUACACGGACGUCCUCCUGCAGCACGAGCGCGGCGGUGGUCGAGUGUUGAGCGGCAACCUCCACAAGCGACUCCGCCUCGUUGCGCGACUGGUAUCCCUGCUCGAGGACAAGGACACGUUCCUCGAGCACCACCGGCUGUGCUUGGCGCGGCGCUUGCUCGGUUAUGCGAGUGGUCCGGCGGCACCGCAGUCAGAAGCGGCAUUGGCGGUAGUGGGCGGAAACGCAAAGCAGUCGUUGGUAGUCGGACGUGCCUCCCAGGGCUCUUCCGCGUCGGCCUCGCUGAACUUGGAGGCGGAGCGCCAACUCGUGAGCUUCCUUCAGUCGUACCUUGGCGUAACGGCCACACAUGCCUUUGAGGCGAUGCUGCGCGACUACGAAGGGGCAGAGCGUACGCGAGACCUCUUCGAGCAGGAGGCAGCCUACCUGGAGCUCCCCACGAAGAUACGGGUGCAGCUGAUCACCUCCGCUCAGUGGCCGACCUACGCUAUGCCUCCCCUGCAGGCGCACGCCUCGCUGCAGCGCGGUAUGGAAGUGUUCCGGGCUUACUAUGCCCGCCAGCACCCCUCGCGCACUCUGCUGUGGGUCUUCAGCCUUGGCAGCGCCACCCUCAUCGCCGAGUUCGUCUCUGGCACGAAGCAGGUGGUCGCGAGCACGCUCUUGGCAACGCUGCUCUUGGUGGUGAGCGACGCCUACAACGCAGAGGCAUCAGGCGCGGCGCAAGCCGGCGCGCUCACGGGGACCCAGCUAGCGCGCAUACUCGGACUGCCCUUUCACGCUCUGCGCGCGCACCUGCACUUGCUGACGCAGCAUCGAGCGUUUAACCUCCUGCAGUGGAUUCCAGCGAGCAGCAGCGGCGGCGGCUCCGGAGCAGCGGCCGCGACAGCGUCCAUCACGGAGAACGACUCUUUCUCGCUGAAUCCUUGUUAUGCGCACAAGUUGCGUAAAAUACGCCUGCCGCUGCCCAAGGCCCGCCCUACCGGCCUACCGUCCGGCGACGCUCAAGCAUUCGACGGUGGCCCCGAACCCGUCCCUCGGCGAGAGCUGUCUGCAACCUUGUCUAGCCCAGGCGCUACCACCGCUGCAGCGACGGUGACAGCCAUUGCCUGUGAAGAUGCGGUUGUCGCCCAGCAUGUGCAAGCGACGCGACGGGUGCUGCUCGAUGCCGCCCUUGUGCGCAUCUUCAAGAGCCGCCGUGUCGUGCUCUUCGAGGACUUGCUUCAGACCGUCACGGCGCACCUCUCAUGUCAGUUCUUGCCCUCGCGACGUGAUGUCAAGGCGCAGCUGGAGGGACUCAUCGAUCGCGAUUACGUGAAGCGCAGUCCCAACGACCCGAACACGUUUGUGUACCUCUCCUAAGCACACGUGCAUCUCUCGCGCUUGAAAGCUGCACGGCGAGCGGUGUGCAGGCGGGAGGUGAGAAAGGGAGAAGGAACGCAUAAGGCGGUCAAACGAGUCUGAGCGGUGGGCGGUGGCGGUGUCUCUUCCGUUACUGCCCCCCCCCUCCCACCCACCUGCUCAGCCCUUCUUCGCGAUUUCUCUAUCCUCCCUCAUGCAGAGCUAGGCAAAUUGUCUGCCGGGUACCCCGUGCCUUCACCGCUCACCUCGCAGCUGCGGUCUGUGCGUGGGUGUAAUGGGGUUGCCGUGCUCACUGCAUCAGGCCACUCACACACCGACACACACGCACACGCACACGCACACACGCUCUCUUACUGUCUUUCUUGGUAUCCUGUGAAGUGUUUGAUCGACUUGAAGUGCCAGCACGUCUGUGUGUGCGCGCAUGGAGUAUAUAUAUCUAUAUGUGCGUGUGGAUGCGCGUCAGUGGUUAUCUACUUCCGCGAGUAUCCUGAGCCCUCCAUCCCCUCUCCCACACACACACGCAUGCAUACCGCCGCCGCCGCUUCUCCUCGGUACUCCCCUCGUGAUGACGGCUCGCCUUGUGCGUCUACGCGUCACAUUAGCGGUAACAGAGUGCGCGGUUGGUGUUCUCUGAUGCGUGGGAGAGAGGGUGUGGCGAAUCUGUUC
rnacentral:misc_RNA from 1 species